CUUUUUGGUUGGGUUUUGGUUUUUGCUCGCAUCCUCCCCUAACAAUAAUGGGAUGGAGCAGCAGAGCUGCAGCCGCGGAUGGGAGGAGGAGGAGGAGGAGGACGCGAGCGUUCGGCACUGCAGAAGAGGCGGCAGGUUUACAGCAAGGAGCCGGAGCUGCCUCUCCCCAGCCCCCCGGUCCUAGCACCCUAUCCCCAUCUCCCAGCUCGAGCCCCCGGUGGGGGAGAAUAGGGGAACAAGGCGCAUCCCUCCUGCCUCCCAGCUCUGGGACGGUGCCCCGGCGCCAGGGGGGUAGGAUUGACACAGAGCCGGCCCCCACCGUUGGGGAGCCCCUCUCAACCGCCAUCCCACCACGGGUAGGCAGCCCGACAGCCUGUUGCUGUUCAAAGGGGAGCGAAAAGCCAGGAGAGGGCGACGAGGGACGGGGGAGAGGGUGAGCUGGAGUAAAAAAGGGGACCCGCUCUGUCGGAUGGGGCUCUCCUCGUUGCUCCUCUCCGAGAAGAGCAAGGAACCCCCGACAGCAGUCGAAGCUCCUCUCACUUCAAGUAACAAAAGGGCAUCCCCCCCUGCCCCGUUCUCUCCGGCGGGGUGGGGCAAAGCUUCCUUGGAGCGGGGCCGCCGUCGGGGCAAGGAGCACAGCUCCACAUCUCCCACCCUCUGUCUCGCGGGGAGGGCGUCCGGGGGAAACCCGAUGCUGGAGCGCCCGAAAUAAAGUGCUGGGAAGGGAGAGCCGCGAAAUACCCAGGGUGAUCUGACAUGCCCCAGCUUCUCCAACGGAGCACUCGUGGCGAAACCAACGGGGAGACGCGGCAGAGCCGAGCAGGGCCGGUGGGGAGGCAGCACGCUGAGGGCAUGGCAGGGCGCUGCCCACCUACCCCGCCCCGACGGCAGGAGAAGUGAUCCUCCCUCAAGCGCAGCCCCGUGCGGGGGUCUCCAGCCCGGCCUGCGGCACCACCAGGGCUGCGCGGCCGCUAUUUUUAGACGAGCCGAAUUCUUUCCCCUUCACCCUCCCUUCGCUCCAACACAGCGCCGCGGACAGCUGAGAGCAGAUCGGCUUACGGCGGGGCCGGCCCUACCCCUAUCCCUACCCCUACCCCCAGCACAGCACGUGGGGAAAGCAGUGCUGAGCCCCACAGCUCCGACCUCACCUCCUGCAGGUGGUGCUGGGCCAGGUGUGACGGCAGAGCCAGGGUGUGAACACGGAAAUCAGGGCUGCGGGAGCUGAGGCCGAAGAGGCAGGAGCAAAGCUGCUGCUUUUAUGCUUACGCUGAUUACUUUUCCCUAAGAAAUAAACAAAGCACAAAACGGAGCCCUUUGGGCAGCACACCUCCAGCUCUCCACGUCUGCAGCAGCACAACCUCUGCUCUGUUUCUGGAUCCAAGGAGUUGCCCUGGCUGGGUUGGCUCUGCUUUGCAGAUUGUAAUGGAGUCAUCUCCGCUGAGUGGCAAGAAGCCAGCGGUGCAGCACCACCAGUGGAAGCACAGUCCCUUUUAAGGUGCCUGAACUCUCCUACCCAGAGGGAUGACACGAUUGCCCCAAGCACAGCAUGGACUCUCAGCUCCAAGUGUGAAGUGAAACACGAGGCUUUCACAGCAGAGGGAUGCAGCAGCAGGUCAUGUUUGGGCUCUCCGAGUGCUCCCAGCUCAGAGCUGCUCUCUGGAAGCAGCGUAGCAGAGCUGUGCCACGCAGAGCUGUGCUGAGCUUUUAUCCCCCAGAAGUUGGGGAUCGUUUACAGUCUGAAUCUGUACAUCCUGAGGGCCUUUGUACAACAUCACCAUUUUAAUGUCCAAUAACGGAAUGAUUUGCCCAUAAAACCCAUCCUCAAGGCACACAGAUGCUUUUCCUGCUCUGGUAAAAUGCCUUUAGAGACAUCUGUCCCUGAGGGAUCCUGGACCUCACAAAGCUGUGGUAGGGGUGUUUGUUCCUAUGGCUCUCUGCCUUAUUCUUAAGUAGGAUUUUUCUCUUUUCUGAAGGCUCUGGGUUGUAGGAGGUCCAGAUUCUGCUGCUUUCAAUAGUGGGAAUUUUACUUCAUGCCUUCAAAGCAGUCCAGCAAGAUUAAAUUACCUUUGUUAUGAUGGUUUCUGGUACGUUCCCAGUUAAAUGCAAAGUAAAACUCUCCCUGCAUUCAGGUAGAGCAGGAUUAGGCCUUAAAAUUAAGAUUCCAGGCAUGAUAGAGUCUCAGAAAUACAAGUACUUCAUUUCAAAUGACGUUUUUAAUUUAUACUGGCACCCAGAGCCAUUUAUUGCUUUCUAUAAAAGAAGUAAAUGAUUAAGUGGGCACGUCUGAAGUUUUGUUGCCACUUCAUGGUAACGGUGUCUGUAAAGUGGGCCCAAAUAAAUCUAUUGCACGUUCCCACUGCCUGGCCUGCUGUUAUUGCAACUGGAAUUCAAGGGCAAAGUUCCUCAUUGCCAGCUGUGUGUUUUAACCAAAAGAACCAACAGGAUUUAUAGACAAGAGAAAUACCAAACAUUGGGUCAAUGUAGCCUAUUGUCUAGCAGGCACAUCCCUGUUCUAAUGGAUGCCUAUUGGUUCCUGUCUUAUUUUCACCACUCCUAUUCCUAU
ensembl:lncRNA